rnacentral:rRNA from 1 species
AGUGAACGCUGGCGGUAGGCCUAACACAUGCAAGUCGAACGGCAGCACAGUAAGAGCUUGCUCUUACGGGUGGCGAGUGGCGGACGGGUGAGGAAUACAUCGGAAUCUACUUUUUCGUGGGGGAUAACGUAGGGAAACUUACGCUAAUACCGCAUACGACCUACGGGUGAAAGCAGGGGAUCUUCGGACCUUGCGCGAUUGAAUGAGCCGAUGUCGGAUUAGCUAGUUGGCGGGGUAAAGGCCCACCAAGGCGACGAUCCGUAGCUGGUCUGAGAGGAUGCACAGCCACACGGGAACUGAGACGCGGUCCAGACUCCUCCGGGAGGCAGCAGUGGGGAAUAUUGGACAAUGGGCGCAAGCCUGAUCCAGCCAUACCGCGUGGGUGAAGAAGGCCUUCUGGUUGUAAAGCCCUUUUGUUGGGAAAGAAAAGAAGCAGGUUAAUACCCCGCUGUUCUGACGGUACCCAAAGAAUAAGCACCGGCUAACUUCGUG